CCACUGUCCAACCAGUCCCAAUGAGAUGAACCAGCAGGAGGCCACUGGAGGCUCCAAGGGCUCUGAAAUGUUGAGAACUUCCCUGCAGGUACCAGCGAAGAGGGCAAGAACACAGCACUACUUCCUUGGAUACUGUUUCCCUCCUCAGAGGGGUUUUCUGAGCUGCCCUGGGUCCUGUGAGGAAGAUCUCCCCUUCCUGUAAAGACACCAGUCCUACUGGAUCAGGGCCCACCCGUGUGACUUCACUUUUACUUGAGUACCUCUCACAGACCCUAACUCCAAAUCAGGUCACUUGCUGAGGUACUGCAUGUGAAGACUUUGACAUUUGAAUUUUGAGGGGGCCACCGUUUAACCUGAACCACCAAGGACAGAGCCAAAGACCCUGGGUGACAGGCCCAGAACAGGACCUGGUGGAGGCUCUUCUUUAGGGGAGAGAGGGAAAUGGGAGCCACCACUGGCAGAGCCUGAAGGCAGGGCAGCCAGAAAGAAGCUGUGGGAGUCCCCACCAUGGAAGACCCUGCCGAGCAUCCUGUGUCUCCUGAAGCAGACCCUGACAUGAGGACUGGGGGCACGUGUUUAUUAAGGGCGAUCCCCGGAAGGAGGAGAUAACCAGGCAGAAGUCCUAGCAGAGUAUGCCCACGCUGGUUAGUGCUGCUGCAAAGAUGAGCCGAAGACCAUGAGAGACCUCCAGGUGGUCCUUCUGGGGAGAAGAAAUGGGUUUUGGCCCCAAAUCCUUCUGCUGCAUUUUUCCCCUAUCCCUGGGAAGCCAUGAGACCUCAAACCUGUGUUCCCAAGGAGGCGAGCUGCUGUUCCCAGGUGAUGAUAUGAUGUGCUUGGGGAAAGUAAGUGGCUGCCAGACAUGGCUGAGAGCUGUUGUCACUGCCGUCAAGUGCAUGUCUCCAAGCCAUAUCACACGGCGUCCCUCGAUGUGAGGCCACAUGGCAAGUGGGCCGUGGAUCUCCCUCUGCCCUUUGCAAGCACGUAAGACAGCAGAUUUUGCAGAUACCUUGUGGCGCAGGGGAAUUUCCUUUGGCCAGGUCUGAAGAAAUAAAGCAGCAGGCACCGAGAACAAAGCCAAGGCUUUCAAAAGACAAGGAGCCAAAAAACUUACUCAAAAUAAAAGUAGUUUUAAAAUGUC
rnacentral:lncRNA from 1 species